rnacentral:rRNA from 1 species
GACGUAGGAUGCAAGCGUUAUCCGGAAUUAUUGGGCGUAAAGAGUUCGUAGACGAACUGUUAAGUAGAAUGUUAAAGACCAGGGCCUAACCCUGGCAAGGUGUUCUAAACUGGCAGAAUAGAGCAAUUCAGAGGCAAGUGGAAUUCUGUGUGUAGGGGUAAUAUCCGUAGAUAUACAGAGGUACACCAAAAGCGAAGGCAGCUUGCUGGGAAUUUGCUGACGUUCAAGAACGAAAGCGUGGGUAGCAAAC